rnacentral:rRNA from 1 species
UACACACGGAUAACAUACCGAAAGGUAUGCUAAUACGGGAUAAUAUAUUUGAGAGGCAUCUCUUAAAUAUCAAAGGUGAGCCAGUACAGGAUGGACCCGCGUCUGAUUAGCUAGUUGGUAAGGUAACGGCUUACCAAGGCGACGAUCAGUAGCCGACCUGAGAGGGUGAUCGGCCACAUUGGAACUGAGACACGGUCCAAACUCCUACGGGAGGCAGCAGUGGGGAAUAUUGCACAAUGGGCGAAAGCCUGAUGCAGCAACGCCGCGUGAGUGAUGAAGGCCUUCGGGUCGUAAAACUCUGUCCUCAAGGAAGAUAAUGACGGUACUUGAGGAGGAAGCCCCGGCUAACUACGUGCCAGCAGCCGCGGUAAUACGUAGGGGGCUAGCGCUAUCCGGAUUUACUGGGCGUAAAGGGCGCGUAGGCGGUCUUUCAAGUCAGGAGUGAAAGGCUACGGCUCAACCGUAGUAAGCUCUUGAAACUGGGAGACUUGAGUGCAGGAGAGGAGAGUGGAAUUCCUAGUGUAGCGGUGAAAUGCGUAGAUAUUAGGAGGAACACCAGUUGCGAAGGCGGCUCUCUGGACUGUAACUGACGCUGAGGCACGAAAGCGUGGGGAGCAAACAGGGUUAGAUACCCUGGUAGUCCACGCUGUAAACGAUGAGUACUAGGUGUCGGGGGUUACCCCCUUCGGUGCCGCAGC